rnacentral:ncRNA from 2 species
UGAAUCGUCUCGCUCCGAAGCUGGAUCCCCUAAAGCUUAGGCUAUGGUGACCAGACUAGUGUCGAAAGACACUCGGGUAUUAUGGGAAACUGUAAUAUCUCCUGCUGGAAAGGAGUCUGUCGACAGGUGGA